rnacentral:rRNA from 1 species
UUAUGAGAUCAAGCGUCAAAAGGGCAUCCGGGGGAUGUCUUGGCGGUAAGAGGCGAUGAAAGACGUGGCACUCUGCGAUAAGCACCGGGGAGGCGAGAGCACCCUUUGAUCCGGUGAUUUCUGAAUGGGGAAACCCACCUCCGAGAUGUUGGAUAAUUCGAGCGCUUCGGCGCUCGACAUGUCUGACAUUUCAAUAGUGAGGUAUUUUAAACUGAAUACAUAGGUUUAAAAAGCGAACCCGGGGAAUUGAAACAUCUGAGUACCCGGAGGAAAGGACAUCAAUUGAGACUCCGUUAGUAGUGGCGAGCGAACGCGGACCAGGCCUGGUCUGAAACAAGGAGAAGCAUCUGGGAAGGUGCGCCAUAGUGGGUGAUAGCCCCGUAUCCGUAAAAUGAAGACCUUUUAGAGUAGGGCGGGACACGUGAAAUCCUGUCUGAAAAUGGGGGGACCACCCUCCAAGCCUAAGUACUCCUUACCGACCGAUAGUGAACAAGUACCGUGAGGGAAUGAUGAAAAGAACCCCGAUGAGGGGAGUGAAACAGAUCCUGAAACCGGAUGCCUACAAGCUGAGGGAGCUCUUCGGAGUGACCUCGUACCUUUUGUAUAAUGGGUCAACGACUUAGUGUUGCGUGCAAGCUUAAGCCGUUAGGUGUAGGCACAGCGAAAGCGAGUCUGAAUAGGGCGACUGAGUACGUAGCAUUAGACCCGAAGGCAAGUGAUCUAGGUAUGGGCAGGCUGAAGGUGCGGUAACACGCACUGGAGGGCCGAACCGUUGAAUGUUGAAAAAUUCUCGGAUGACCUGUGCCUAGGGGUGAAAGGCCAAUCAAACUUGCUGAUAGCUGGUUCUCCGCGAAAUCUAUUUAGGUAGAGCGUCACGGUUGAGACUCCAGGGGGUAGAGCACUGAAUGGGCUAGGGGUCCUUACCGGAUUACCAAACCUUAUCAAACUCCGAAUACCUGGAAGUUAUACGUGGCAGACACACGGCGGGUGCUAACGUCCGUCGUGAAAAGGGAAACAACCCAGACCGCCGAUUAAGGCCCCCAAGUCAUAGCUAAGUGCGAAACGAUGUGGGAUUGCUGAGACAAUCAGGAGGUUGGCUUAGAAGCAGCCAUCCUUUAAAGAAAGCGUAACAGCUCACUGAUCAAGCGAUCCUGCGCGGAAAAUGUAUCGGGACUAAAGUUAUGCGCCGAAAUCGCGGGCUCGUAAGAGCGGUAGCGGAGCGUUCCGUAAGCCGAUGAAGGUGAACCGUGAGGUUUGCUGGAGGUAUCGGAAGUGAGAAUGUUGACAUGAGUAGCGACAAAGAGGGUGAGAGACCCUCUCGCCGAAAGUCCAAGGGUUCCUGCGUAAAGCUAAUCUGCGCAGGGUUAGCCGGCCCCUAAGGUCAGGCCGAAAGGCGUAGCCGAUGGGAACCACGUUAAUAUUCGUGGGCCGAGGGAUGAGUGACGGAUUCCGAAAGCUGUACAAACUUACUGGAUUGUGAGUGCAGCCUGGGGGUCCCUGGAAAUAGCCUCCCUAUUAGACCGUACCCUAAA